ACUCCCCUGUUAUAUAUAUAUAUAUGUAUAUACAUUUAUAGCGUCUUGAUUCUUUCAGCAAAGCAGACGAACGUUAUUGCAAUAUAUAUUUGUACCUACAUAUAUAUGAAUACAUUUCUUUGUGUACGUUAACACGUGCGUGAAUAUCAGAGAUAAAGAAAAAAACGUCUCUUAUUAGCACAUUCAUUGAUAUAAAAGAUGCAGUCUGAUCUUGAAUUGCAUACAGUUCACCAGCGAACCUUUUGCUAAAAGCUUAUUUUGUCAACAACAAACAACGCAAGUGACGAAAAAAAAUUCAAUACCGAUAAAAAAUGAAGAGUUUCAUUGCAAUUUUCAUGCUAUUUAUUGCAUUAAUAGGAGCGAUAGAUGCCUUCAGACAUCAUCCACAAAGGCCACCACAGAAUGGUCGUCCAAAUUAUCCUGGAACUCCGCCAUUUAAUCCCAAAGUUAAACCAUUCCCAUAUUAUGUGUAAUGUCAAUUAUAACCGCACGAGACACGAGGAAGAAACGCCCAUGUCAUAUUCCAAACGACAGACUACAAAAUUCUAUUAGAAUUUCUAUAUUGGCAUUUCCGAAUAAUGUCAACGAUUCAAACAGUAUAUAUAUAUAUAUUUAUAUAUACAUCCUAAAAACGAUAAAAUUUCAAGAUCAAUUUAUUAUUUAUUUUCCAUACCCAUUUAAUUCAUAUAUACCAAACAUGUAAAAAGAAAAAUACAAUAAAAUAUUUAUUUAUAAAAAUGUGAAAAA